GGGUUGUGAGGUUAAGCGACUAAGCGUACACGGUGGAUGCCCUGGCAGUCAGAGGCGAUGAAGGACGUGCUAAUCUGCGAUAAGCGUCGGUGAGGUGAUAUGAACCGUUAUAACCGGCGAUUUCCGAAUGGGGAAACCCAGUGUGAUUCGUCACACUAUCAUUAACUGAAUCCAUAGGUUAAUGAGGCGAACCGGGGGAACUGAAACAUCUAAGUACCCCGAGGAAAAGAAAUCAACCGAGAUUCCCCCAGUAGCGGCGAGCGAACGGGGAGCAGCCCAGAGCCUGAAUCAGUGUGUGUGUUAGUGGAAGCGUCUGGAAAGGCGCGCGAUACAGGGUGACAGCCCCGUACACAAAAAUGCACAUGCUGUGAGCUCGAUGAGUAGGGCGGGACACGUCGUAUCCUGUCUGAAUAUGGGGGGACCAUCCUCCAAGGCUAAAUACUCCUGACUGACCGAUAGUGAACCAGUACCGUGAGGGAAAGGCGAAAAGAACCCCGGCGAGGGGAGUGAAAAAGAACCUGAAACCGUGUACGUACAAGCAGUGGGAGCACAGAGCAAUCUGUGUGACUGCGUACCUUUUGUAUAAUGGGUCAGCGACUUAUAUUCUGUAGCAAGGUUAACCGAAUAGGGGAGCCGAAGGGAAACCGAGUCUUAACUGGGCGUUAAGUUGCAGGGUAUAGACCCGAAACCCGGUGAUCUAGCCAUGGGCAGGUUGAAGGUUGGGUAACACUAACUGGAGGACCGAACCGACUAAUGUUGAAAAAUUAGCGGAUGACUUGUGGCUGGGGGUGAAAGGCCAAUCAAACCGGGAGAUAGCUGGUUCUCCCCGAAAGCUAUUUAGGUAGCGCCUCGUGAAUUCAUCUCCGGGGGUAGAGCACUGUUUCGGCAAGGGGGUCAUCCCGACUUACCAACCCGAUGCAAACUGCGAAUACCGGAGAAUGUUAUCACGGGAGACACACGGCGGGUGCUAACGUCCGUCGUGAAGAGGGAAACAACCCAGACCGCCAGCUAAGGUCCCAAAGUCAUGGUUAAGUGGGAAACGAUGUGGGAAGGCCCAGACAGCCAGGAUGUUGGCUUAGAAGCAGCCAUCAUUUAAAGAAAGCGUAAUAGCUCACUGGUCGAGUCGGCCUGCGCGGAAGAUGUAACGGGGCUAAACCAUGCACCGAAGCUGCGGCAGCGACGCUUAUGCGUUGUUGGGUAGGGGAGCGUUCUGUAAGCCUGUGAAGGUGUGCUGUGAGGCAUGCUGGAGGUAUCAGAAGUGCGAAUGCUGACAUAAGUAACGAUAAAGCGGGUGAAAAGCCCGCUCGCCGGAAGACCAAGGGUUCCUGUCCAACGUUAAUCGGGGCAGGGUGAGUCGACCCCUAAGGCGAGGCCGAAAGGCGUAGUCGAUGGGAAACAGGUUAAUAUUCCUGUACUUGGUGUUACUGCGAAGGGGGGACGGAGAAGGCUAUGUUGGCCGGGCGACGGUUGUCCCGGUUUAAGCGUGUAGGCUGGUUUUCCAGGCAAAUCCGGAAAAUCAAGGCUGAGGCGUGAUGACGAGGCACUACGGUGCUGAAGCAACAAAUGCCCUGCUUCCAGGAAAAGCCUCUAAGCAUCAGGUAACAUCAAAUCGUACCCCAAACCGACACAGGUGGUCAGGUAGAGAAUACCAAGGCGCUUGAGAGAACUCGGGUGAAGGAACUAGGCAAAAUGGUGCCGUAACUUCGGGAGAAGGCACGCUGAUAUGUAGGUGAAGUCCCUCGCGGAUGGAGCUGAAAUCAGUCGAAGAUACCAGCUGGCUGCAACUGUUUAUUAAAAACACAGCACUGUGCAAACACGAAAGUGGACGUAUACGGUGUGACGCCUGCCCGGUGCCGGAAGGUUAAUUGAUGGGGUUAGCGGUAACGCGAAGCUCUUGAUCGAAGCCCCGGUAAACGGCGGCCGUAACUAUAACGGUCCUAAGGUAGCGAAAUUCCUUGUCGGGUAAGUUCCGACCUGCACGAAUGGCGUAAUGAUGGCCAGGCUGUCUCCACCCGAGACUCAGUGAAAUUGAACUCGCUGUGAAGAUGCAGUGUACCCGCGGCAAGACGGAAAGACCCCGUGAACCUUUACUAUAGCUUGACACUGAACAUUGAGCCUUGAUGUGUAGGAUAGGUGGGAGGCUUUGAAGUGUGGACGCCAGUCUGCAUGGAGCCGGCCUUGAAAUACCACCCUUUAAUGUUUGAUGUUCUAACGUUGGCCCCUGAUCGGGGUUGCGGACAGUGUCUGGUGGGUAGUUUGACUGGGGCGGUCUCCUCCUAAAGAGUAACGGAGGAGCACGAAGGUUGGCUAAUCCUGGUCGGACAUCAGGAGGUUAGUGCAAUGGCAUAAGCCAGCUUGACUGCGAGCGUGACGGCGCGAGCAGGUGCGAAAGCAGGUCAUAGUGAUCCGGUGGUUCUGAAUGGAAGGGCCAUCGCUCAACGGAUAAAAGGUACUCCGGGGAUAACAGGCUGAUACCGCCCAAGAGUUCAUAUCGACGGCGGUGUUUGGCACCUCGAUGUCGGCUCAUCACAUCCUGGGGCUGAAGUAGGUCCCAAGGGUAUGGCUGUUCGCCAUUUAAAGUGGUACGCGAGCUGGGUUUAGAACGUCGUGAGACAGUUCGGUCCCUAUCUGCCGUGGGCGCUGGAGAACUGAGGGGGGCUGCUCCUAGUACGAGAGGACCGGAGUGGACGCAUCACUGGUGUUCGGGUUGUCAUGCCAAUGGCACUGCCCGGUAGCUAAAUGCGGAAGAGAUAAGUGCUGAAAGCAUCUAAGCACGAAACUUGCCCCGAGAUGAGUUCUCCCUGACUCCUUGAGAGUCCUGAAGGAACGUUGAAGACGACGACGUUGAUAGGCCGGGUGUGUAAGCGCAGCGAUGCGUUGAGCUAACCGGUACUAAUGAACCGUGAGGCUUAACCUUACAACGCCGAAGCUGUU
rnacentral:rRNA from 4 species